rnacentral:siRNA from 1 species
CUUUGCCUUCAUUCUUGGUCC